ACCAAUUUAAUUAUAUAUUUAAUAGUUACUGAACUUUAAUUAUUUAAUAUAUAUUAAUUAUUUCAUAAUAUGUAAAAAUAUUUAAUACAUAAAAUAAUUUUUUUAUAUAAUGUUGAUCCCGCGCAAGGCGUAGAUCUUAACCUAGUUAUCUUAUUAUACUAGCAAAUAAGCAUAAUAGUAGAAAGUAUCUUAUUUUAUUAUCUUAUUAUAUAAAAGAAGAUUUGAUCUCUCUGUAGAGAGACACCGAGGAUGCCACAUAAAAAAGUCUAGUUAUUUCGUGCUGACACGUGUCCAAUUAAAUGAAACGCUCCAUUUCAUUUAUUAAGGUUUGUUAUUUGUAUGGCCUUUUGAAUAUUCACGGUGUCUGUGUUAGACUUUGCUGUUUAAUGUUCACACUCGGCGGAUUUGAUGUGGUUCAAUGCAAUCAGAACUUCAGACUUUCGGAGUCCAUUUUGACUAUUCGGUUCAAUGUCUUAACAAACUUUGAUGCGUUAACCGCACCAAUUUCUCCAAUUCUUGAAGAGCUUUUCAGGUUCCGUGAUCUUGAUUCCCUUCUUGGCCUGGCCAACACCAAAACACAACUUCCUGAUGUUAUUGGUGAGCUAGCUGCUGUGAAGAUUACAGUGAGUGACAUUCCCCAAGGAAAUGAACGAAUCAUGGCAACCAUCAAAUCGAUAAUGACGUGUCUGUGACUCUGAGCCUGUUUGAGUCACAAGCUGUAACGUUUCACAACAAGCUUGAAGGCUUUGGGGGUGAUCCGAGAGUUUUGUCACAUCUAGAAUAAAUCCUAGGAUUGUAGGAGGCCGUAUGCUCUUAAAGGCCACGUCAGAGACUCAUGCAGGGGAGUUUUUUUUAACGAGAAAGUGUCUGAUGAUUCCUACGUUACUACAUCCACCUUCGGUUUGUUGUGAUACUGAUACAUAAGGCCCUCUCACGUGAUAUUUCACAUCGAUGUAGGCUGGCUUCUAGACAUAGUUGGAACAACCCUGCAUCUUCUUUGCUGAGGGGAUACACCAAGGUUGAACCACUGAGCAUAUCUGAGCUCACUAAGUUCAUUCUCACAGCCAAGCCUCAGGUUGUACAGCAUUCUGAUUUGUUUUAAGUACUGAAAGCUUAUACUCAGUAUGUGAUUCUCAUGAGUUUGUAUUGUACGGAAAUUGAAUUUGUAUGUACUGGAAAGGUGACUGGAAUCAAGAUGGAAAGAGGAUGGUGUUAUGUCUCCUGCUUCAUGUGCACGAGGAGGCUCCAACGAACUGUCUCCUCAUUCACUUGCGUGUCCCGCAAUAACACUAAAGCUAUUGGUGUGCUCAGGUACCGUGUGGAAAUGAGCAUAGCUGAUGACACGACGAGGGUCUAUUUGUUGGUUUUGAUGGUGAGAUGACAAAACUCCAUAACAUGCGAGCCUACGAAGCUGGUCAUCUCAUGCUUUCUUCACAUAGACUGGACCGGGAGUAAACCCAGAGGAGUCUCGGGCACCUCCUUUUAUACAAGGAGAUAUUCAAGGAUCCACAAGACCAAAAAGGCAACGUCUCCACUUUUGAAGAAAUUACUCAGUCAUGACCACGGUUUCGUAUUUGCAGAAAAUGAGAAUUUUAAUUACCGAAAACGUUCUCUUUUAUACCCCAAUUAUUAUGGACACACAUACAUUUGGUUAUUUGAUUAAACAAUAACAAUCUACUUUCGUUAAGACAUUUGAUGCUAUAUUUGUUGUGUCAGAACCAAAAUUGGCGUCCAAAUUUAAUUUUCUAAAUACGACUACAAUGCAAACAUACCAAUAAAACACAUAUACUGGUGUAGACAUCACAUGACCAACAAGUUAAAAAUAUCACACUGCCAAACAAAUGAACAUACCAAAUUUCAUUAAAGAAAAUAUAUAUCU